rnacentral:rRNA from 1 species
UACGUAGGGUGCAAGCGUUAAUCGGAAUUACUGGGCGUAAAGGGCGCGUAGGCGGCCUGAUAAGUAGGGGGUGAAAUCCUGCGGCUUAACCGCAGGGCUGCCUUCUAAACUGUCAGGCUGGAGCACAGUAGAGGCAGGUGGAAUUCCCGGUGUAGCGGUGGAAUGCGUAGAGAUCGGGAGGAACACCGGUGGCGAAGGCGGUUCUCUGGGCCUUACCUGACGCUGAGGAGCGAAAGCGUGGGGAGCGAACAGG